GAUGAACGCUGGCGGCGUGCCUAAUACAUGCAAGUCGAGCGAACAGACGAGGAGCUUGCUCCUCUGACGUUAGCGGCGGACGGGUGAGUAACACGUGGAUAACCUACCUAUAAGACUGGGAUAACUUAGGGAAACCGGAGCUAAUACCGGAUAAUAUAUUGAACCGCAUGGUUCAAUAGUGAAAGACGGUUUUGCUGUCACUUAUAGAUGGAUCCGCGCCGCAUUAGCUAGUUGGUAAGGUAACGGCUUACCAAGGCAACGAUGCGUAGCCGACCUGAGAGGGUGAUCGGCCACACUGGAACUGAGACACGGUCCAGACUCCUACGGGAGGCAGCAGUAGGGAAUCCUCCGCAAUGGGCGAAAGCCUGACGGAGCAACGCCGCGUGAGUGAUGAAGGUCUUCGGAUCGUAAAACUCUGUUAUUAGGGAAGAACAAAUGUGUAAGUAACUAUGCACGUCUUGACGGUACCUAAUCAGAAAGCCACGGCUAACUACGUG
rnacentral:rRNA from 1 species